AGAUGUUGGAGCACAGCGGCAACCAGCACAAUAUGAAUAUAAUAUGAAGAGUGACUGGUGUUCUGCAUCAAAGUCAGAAAAAGUUUGUUAGACAUGACAUCACAACAGAGUUAAGAAGACACACACACUUCUACAAAGCUCGUGUGUGAACACGUAACUCCACGUCAGGAAGCAGAAACACAAACACAGUGUGAACAUGUGGAGGACACGUCACUGAAGGUCACUGAUCCACCGAGUGUGAAGCAGAGGACACACGGACACAGCAGCCGAGAGAACGACACGCCGACACCGCGCUCGUUAGGACGUGACGUCAGUUUCAGCAGGUGACAGGGAAGGUAGAUGCCACAAUUUGCUCCCAAUAUGACCUUCAUCGAUGACAUAAUCAUAGAUGUCCACUUGAAAAUUGCAGCUACCAACCACAGAUUCCUGCACAGCUGCUCAGACUGUCUGCUUAUGUACACCUACACCAACGAGAACAACUACACAGCAUUGUACCUAUUCGGCAGGAAUACCACUCUAGAAGCCUCUGAUCUGGAGACACUCAGGAAACAAGCUACAUGUCUCCAGUUUCCACUGCCA